rnacentral:rRNA from 1 species
GACGAACGCUGGCGGCGUGCUUAACACAUGCAAGUCGAACGGUAAGGCCCUUCGGGGUACACGAGUGGCGAACGGGUGAGUAACACGUGGGUGAUCUGCCCUGCACUUCGGGAUAAGCCUGGGAAACUGGGUCUAAUACCGGAUAGGACUCCGGACUGCAUGGUCUGGGGUGGAAAGCUUUUGCGGUGUGGGAUGGGCCCGCGGCCUAUCAGCUUGGUGGGGGGGUGAUGGCCUACCAAGGCGACGACGGGUAGCCGGCCUGAGAGGGUGACCGGCCACACUGGGACUGAGAUACGGCCCAGACUCCUACGGGAGGCAGCAGUGGGGAAUAUUGCACAAUGGGCGCAAGCCUGAUGCAGCGACGCCGCGUGAGGGAUGACGGCCUUCGGGUUGUAAACCUCUUUCAGCACCGACGAAGCGAAAGUGACGGUAGGUGCAGAAGAAGGACCGGCCAACUACGUGCCAGCAGCCGCAGUAA